GCGAUAGAUGCUGUGGCAGGAAUGAAAGUAAUAAAGGAGGAUAAGUAAAGACAUGAAGGAGGAAAGGGGAUUGUAAUUUUAAAUAGCAUGGUCAGGAAAGUCCUAAAUAAAAAGGAUGGCUUUAGAGCAAAACCUGAAGUAGGGAAGGAGGGAGUCGCACAUGUAUUAAGGGAACAGCAUUCCAGGCAGUAGCCCUGAGGCAGGAAAGUACUUGGGCAUGUUCCGGACACAGUAUGGAGUGACAUGCUAAUUCAGUAUGGAGGCCAAUGUGGGUGGAACAGAGUGAAGAAAAAAGUAAUAGAAGAUGAGGUCAUAAAGGUAGCUGGAAGCAAGAUCACAUAGGACCUUGCAUACCACUGAAAGUCUUCAAUUUUUAUCUGAGGGAGGUGGAAACUAUUGGUGAGUACUGAGCAUGAGAGUGACAUCAUAUGACUUGGGUUUUUGAAGGACCCCUUUGUUGAGAGUAGAUUACAGAGGGCAAAAGUAGAAGCAUGAAGACCAACUAGGAGGCUGGAAAAAUCCAGGAAAUGAUGGCUUGGAGCCAUGUAGGGGGGAGUUUGUCAUCUUGGCUCACCACAACCUCCGCCUCCCAGAAAGGUGGAAGUCAAAAGUUCUAAGAAAAAGGAAAGUAAACAUCAGCAUUUUGGUGAUCUUGAGAUGUGCAAGAUGAUACAAGACCAUAACAGUGUCUGAUUCUGGAGAAUGAAAGGUAAGAAAUAUUAACCAGAGCAGAUUUUAUCCUUGCCAUGUAAUGGUGACUUCAGAACACCACCAUUAAUUCCAGCAAAAGCCACUUCCAAC
rnacentral:lncRNA from 1 species